rnacentral:lncRNA from 1 species
ACAGGACAAGAAGAAAAUUAUAUAGCAAAAUAUCUAGUAAAAAAUGAAGAAAUAAAAAAUGAUAAUGAUAUGUGUCCAGAUCUACCAAGAAGUUUAAUAAAUAGUAAAAAUAUAGCAGAAACAGAAAUAAUAAUAGGAGUUAGAAAAAUAAAAAUAGAAUUUGAAAUAAAGGAAGAAAUGCAAAAAACAGAUAUAAUAUUAGGAAUAAAAUGGUUAGAACAAGUAAAACCAUCAAAUGAUUUUGCUCUAAUUCAAAAGGUGAUCUAUCUUUUAAAAUUGAUUUUAUUAUAAUAUUUUGUAGUUGUUUGUUUUGGACAAGAGUUGAAACUACCAUGUUAUGUCUUGAUUUAUGAGAUGUUUUAUAAAUCAAGAACUUUCAAACAACAAGUUAUGCCCCAUGGGUAAGAGUUGACACUAUCAUAUCAUGUCUUGAUUUAUGAGAUGUUUUAUAACUCUUAUACCUUAAAGGCAAGACUUAGCCCACAAGUUCGACCCAUGGGCAAGAGUUGACACUAUCAUAUUGUGUCUUAAUUUAUGAGAUACUCUAUUAGUCUUGCCUCUGAGGUAAGACUUAGCCCAAGAACCUCCCAAAAAAAGUUACGUCCAAUGGACAAGUGUUGAUACUAUCACAUUGUGUCUUGAUUUAUGAGAUGUUCUAUAAUUCUUACCUUAGAGUUAAAUCUUCUCCCAAAAGACUUUCAAACAAUAAGUUAUGCCCUUAAAUUUACUUUGAUGUCAAAGAAACGAAGAUCCCUUUGCAGAUUAUCUUUCUUUCUAUUUAUUAGCAAAUGUAGUAGAAGUUGAGGAAAAAAAGAAGAAAUAAUAGAGAAAAGAUAAAGAAAAAAAAGAAGAAAAAAAAAUUAACGGUUAAGAAAAAAGAGAAGAAUGAAAAAUAAAAUAAAUAAAUAUUGAAAAAAAAAACUAGAAAAAAAUAAAAAUAAAAUUUGAGAAAAAAGAAAAAAAAAAGGGGAAAUGAUAAAGAAAAGAAAAGAAAAAAAAUGAGUAAUGGUAAAGAAAAGAAAAGAAAAGAAAAUGAGAAAUGAUAAAGAAAAGAAAAGAAAAGAAAAAUAAAAGUUGAGACAAAUGAAUAAAAAAAAUGAAGAAAUAAAUAAUAUUUGAAAAAAAUAAAGGUUGAGAUAACGGAAUUAAAAUAAUAAAAAAUAAAAAUCAAAGGAAAAAUAAAAGAAGAAAUAAAAAUGAAAGUUGAGAGACAAAUAAAUAUGAAAAUUGUAAAAAUAUUUGAGGUGUAAAUUAGUAAAAAUGUACUUAUACUGUAUAUUAAAAUAAAGAAAGGCCAGUGUUUAAGAUUUUUUCGGGGGGAUAAAAACCAAAGUCAGGUAUACCAUGUAGUUUCUUGUACCACGACAGCCUUUUCUACGGGCUAUGUUUGGGCUCGUUUGGCCACCAAGUUGCUCAACGUACUCAAGUAUCCAAACUCAGCCCAUACGUUAAAGCCCCAGUCCAAACCAGACAGGUGAAACCAAACUUACUCCGGUCCAAAUUUUAUUUUGACAAGCCUCGUUUGUUAAUUUUGGUGUUAACGAUUAUUCCUGAAUAAAGUACAACAAUGAUAAUGUAGGAACUUUAAGAAAAAGAAAUAUGAAUAGAAAACUAGCACAAUCAAGGUACAGUGCUUGACACAACACUUCAUUCAAAAGGCAAUGCUAAAUAUCAACUCAAAGUAGUACUUUGAUCUUUAGUUUGAUUUGAUAUCCAAACGUGUUUAGAACACACGUUUGGGCAUCUUUUUGCAUAUGUGAAUCAGAAUAUACAAGGUAAAAAGAAAAGUUGGUGAUGACUGACCGAUGAGAGCUUAUUGAGGAGUUUGAGAUGACAUAUUGUGGGCCUAUCCUCAGUGUUUGGUUUGGAAACGACAAUCAUUAUUUUGACACUUUCUUCCCAAGUGGGUUUUUUUAUUUUGGAGUAGGCAUUAUCUUUGAAGUGACUAUUUUUUAAUUCUCUUUUCCCUCCUUGUUGAAGUGACUAUUUUUGCUAACUUUCUACAUUUUCUUUUAAAUUUCUUUCUUUUGGGUUUACAUAUCAAUCAUUUCAUUUUCUGUAAUCUUUUAUUUUCUAUUGUAUGGUAAUUCCUUCCUCUGUUUCAUAAUAAAUGAAUUAUUGAAUUUUGAUAUACAUAUUAAGGAAAAAGCAUUAAAAAUAUAAUUUUAACACACCUUUUCAUUUUUAACCCCUCCAAAAAAAAGUUGACCUUGUAAUAUUUUUUCAAAAGUUAAUUAAUUGUCAAAUCAUAAGGACAAAUUUUAAAAAAAUUUAAUGAUACAAUUCACUUAUUUUGAAACAGAGAGAUUAUUAUUAAUCAUGCAAAUUGUAAAAGGAAAAUUCAUCUCUCAUGUCAUAUCACGUGCACAAUGCAACUUAUAACGUUUGAGUGAUUGCGCAAUCACUUAUUAUUGGGAACUAAUAGAGUAGCAAACUGCAGAGUCGAGUUUUAGGUUCUUUGCAAAUCAUCAUUCAAAUGUUACAUUUGCAAUAAAGUUUCACAAUUUCGUCUCCCCGACCAAGACAAAAGCUUUUUUUUCUAUUUUUUGGUUUUCCAAUCGAUGCUUCACACUUAUUUUAUUCGAGGUCCAGUUUAUUCGAAUUCAUUACUUAGAAACCUCUCUCCAGAGAUAAAACACUUCCUAUCAUAGGUAAUUUUAUUUUUAAAAUUCGAAUCCUAAUCCUAUAUUUAAGAAUGAAUAAAUACUUGUCACUGUACUACAAAUCUUUAAUAGUACAAAAACUCUUUAAAUUAGAAAUUAAAGAAAACUGCAAGAAUACAUGGUGUAUAUGCUAUGUAUAUAAUAUGUGUGCGCUCUUACUGGUAAAGAAAUACAAAAAAGAAAAGAUAAAGAGGAAAUUUGAAUGCCAAAAGGCUCAUUAUCAGAGCAAUCAAAACAAGGAACUUCAAAAAGCUACGCUAGUUCAACGCGUGCAAAACUGCAAGUUGGUAAGCGAUUACGACGUGUUGCCCUAUUGAAGUGGGAUAGAACUGAGUUCCCCUUUUGAAUUACUGCAGAUGAACAGAAGUAUUAGAACGAGGUGGGGCAGGAAAAUAUACUUACGUUCUGAUAUUUGGUAUUUAAGCUAAAUCAUAUUAGCUAAUUUUUGUCAAGUGAUAUGCGAAGGUAAAAAUAUAUACUAUAUUCUAAUAGGUUCAGAAAAAGUUGUGAAUAGUGUUUCAAAAGGAAGUUUAUCUCAUUGGUUAUUAAAUUAUUUAUCACUUAGGUCUUAUUUAUCAUUACUCUUUAAAAGGAUUGCUAAAAUUAUUUUUGACAUUUUGAGCCCACAAGAAAUAUAUCCAAAUGCAUGCUUACCGGGGAAUGUCCAACCAAAUUCAUUCCCUUGCAAUGAAAAUAGUCAAAAUCCACUACUUUUAUUUCUAAGCUCUAACGCCAUCAACACGGUAAUAAAUAUUACAGCUGUUAUAUAAUCUGGCUCUUACAACAUAAUCAUUGAUUUCUCUUCAAUUCUUCUCUCUUCUGAUCCGUCGAAUUAAUUGUUUGUUAUUUCUACUGCUAAUUUAUAUUAAAAUUAGUUGUUAAAUUUGGAAAAUACAUGUUUACUGAUGAAAUAUCCUCAAGAAUAUUACUCUUAACACGCUUCAAAUUAAUUUUGAAGAAUUCCUGUGUAUUUCUUUGAUUGAUUCCAUUAAUUUCCCAACAUUAUAAUUAGUCAAGGUGAAUGAUAAAAAUGUAUAGAAGACAUGCAUUUAUUAGUAAAAUACAAAUAUCGUGUCUAAGACAAAAAUUACAAAUAUAAUUCUAAUAUGUAUUUAUAACAAAUUAAUCAGCCAUUUCUAUAUUUGAUAGAGUAAGUAUUACACACAGAGGGGUUCAUGUUUUUUUCUCUUCAGCGGAUAGAGAACAACACACCAUCUUCUUCUUCUCCAUGCUUCCACCAUUAGCAACAGAAUACACAACUCUUUCUUCAAUUUAUGGACCAACUAAUAAAAUUCUCCAUUUUCAAGCAAAUCAAAAUACACUCACCUUAACUUAGCAGUAACAUACUUCUUCCCCUCCAUAUGCACAAUUUGAAAAAAAAAAAAAUAGAUGGUGAUGAGAUUACAAAAUAUGACGAAAAAAAAUAAGAGAGAGAAAAAUACACAUAGUAAAGGUGUAACUGUGUGUGAAAAGAGAGAGAGAUACUCGAAUUGAAGAAACUUUUUUGAGGAAUUUAAGGUCUGUUUAUUGGCGAAUUUACGCGAAGAAAAUUAAAUGGUGUAAUUGUGUGAAAAAGAAGGAAAGAGAUGAUGUUUGUGAAGUUUAUUUUUGGGUAAAUUAGAGAGAGGUAAAAUAAUGUAGUGAAAAUAGUAGAAAAAAGAGUGAAAUAAGCGUGUAUAGAGCUAAUGGGUAAAAAAAUAUUACUUUUGCUAUAAAAUAUAAUUUUGAGAAAGUGUUGUUAUUUAUUGUAAUUAUGGUCUUAAGUUUGUCACUUCCUGUAAUUUUUUUUAUUUUUAUUAUCAAUUUAUUUGACACAAAUAAAAUUUAGAUAAUUAAUUAUAUUUUAAAUAUGUUUUUAGAUGUUUUAAGUUGUUAGCUAUUGUAAUUUAGAAUACUUUUUUGGCAUUGUAAUUAACUAUUUUAAAUUGUUAGCUAUUAUAAUUUAUAAUAUUCUCUUAUCUAAACUUUUGUGGCAUUGAUAAUCGGUUAUAUUUUUAAAAUAAUUUAACUCUUUAAUUAUUGUGAUUUAUACUACUUUUUCUUUUAUUGCAAUUAAGUGACGUUGAUAUAAUUUCGAGAGUCAACCAAAUAUUAUGAUUGAAAUAGUGAAGCAGAAAUGUCAUGAAUGACUCAUAAUGACUUAUUGGAAGUGAUAUAAUGAAAAUAUUAUAAAAAAUAGUUGUUAAAAAAAUUUAAGCGGACCCCAUAUAAGAAGUCAAGUUAAUUUAAAACAUCAAUAGUUAAUUUAUUAUUGUUUAAAAUUUAUUUUAUCUUUUUUAUUAUUAAUUUUUUAAUACUUAGAUGACUUAUAAUAAUUAAUUAGAGAUGAAAUAGUAAAAUUACAGUUGAAGCAGCUGAAAUAGCCAUAUCAUAAAUGUCUAUUUUACUUUUAUUUUUUAUUAAAUAUUAUUAUUUUUUUAAUACUUAACUGACAUAUAAUAAUUAAUUAGGAGUGAUAUAGUAAAAUCAUGGAGUAAAAAGACACGUCAACGGAGAGGUGCUUGCUUCUUCACUCUUAAGUGAUACUGAUAUCAUUUCGAGAGUCAACUACAUAUCACGAUUGAAGUAGCGAAGUAGACAUGUCUUAAAUGACUCAUAAUACCUUAUUAGAAGUGAUACAACAAAAUUACUAUAAAAAAUAGUUGUGAAAAAAAUUAAGCAGUUCAUAUAAGAUGUCGAGUAAAUUUAAAACAUCAAUAGUUAAUUUUUUUUUAAUUUUUUUAUUAAAUAUUCUUUUAAUACUUAGAUGACUUAUAAUAAUUAAUUAGGAAUGAAAUAGUAAAAUUACGGUUGAAGCAGCUGAAGUAGAGAUGUCGUAAAUCUCUAUUUUACCUUUUUUAAUUAAAUACUAUUAAUUUUUUAAUACGUAAAUAACAUAAAAUAAUUAAUUAAGGAUAAUAUAGUAAAAUCACAUAUUAAAAAGGCACAUCAACGAAGAGGUGUCUGAUUCUUCGUUUUUCUACAUAGUACUAACUAGGGAGGAUAUGACUCGUGUUAGCACGGACUCAACGUAAAGAACAUUUUUAGGUUAAUUAUUAUGAUUUAUAAUAUUUUUAUGUUAUUUUAAAAUAAUAUAUAUCACACCCUCUAUCUAAUCUAUGUGCUAUUGAUUGCUAAUUAUUAUGAUUUAUAAUACUUUUAUGCAAUUCUCAAAUAUAUAACAGAUUAAAAAGAAAAGUAAAAUAAAUAAAUAUAAAAUGAAAUAUCUAAGCAGGCAACACAAGCAAACAGGUUGAUCUGCUACCUGCUUAUCAUUCUUUAUAAGUGAGGUAAUAAAUCACAAAUGUCAAUUUAAGUGGCAUAAUGCUUGGAUGAUUAUAAUAAUUUAUUAGAGGUCAUAUAAUAAAAUCAUGAUUGAAGCAGCAAAGCAAACAUGUCUUAAACGACUUAUAACACUAAUUAGAAGUAACAUAGCAAAAUUAUUAUAAAAGAUAUUUGUGAAAAAAAGUUUAAGUGGGCCUCAAGAGUUAAUUUAUCAUUUUAUGUUUAUAUUACUUUUUAAUUAAAUAUUAUUAAUUUUUUAAUACUUAACUGACUUAUAAUAAUUAAUUAGGGAGAUAUUUAGUAAAAAUUGAUAUAGCAAAGUUGCUAUAAAAAUUAUUUGUGAAAAAAAAUUAAGUGUGUCUUAUAUAAGUCGUCAAGUUAAUUUAAAACAAUAAGAGUUAAUUUAACAUUUUAUUUCUAUUUUACCUUUUUAUUAAAUAUUAUUAAUUUUUUAAUACUAAAAUGAAUUAUAAUAAUUAAUCAUGGGAGAUAUUCAGUAAAAUUAUGGUUGAAGCAACUGAAGCAGGCAUAUCAUAAAUGUUUAUUUUUUAUCAAAUAUUAUUAUUUUUAAUUUUAAUACAUAAAUGACUUAUAAUAAUUAAUUAGGGGUGAUGUGGUAAAAUCACAGAUGAACUUAUAUAUUUGAAAAUUACAUAAAAAGUAAUAUCCUAUAAGUUAUAUUAAUUGACAAUUCAAAAUAUUUUAAAAAUGUAUGAAAGUGAAAAAUACGAUCAAAGAUAGACAUUAGGAUAGCGAGAGUGACAAUCAAUAAUUCAUAGGAGUAGCAUACUUAAUCAAAUAUAGAAUUAAUUUUUUGCAUAUAAAAGAAUAGUGAAUUAUUAGAUUUGAUGUAAUAGUAAAUUAUGUUAGUCCUCACGAAGGCAACAUUUUAUUAAGUGUUUAUGUCGAAUUUAAUAAAUAUUUCUUUAGUUCAUUUUUAUUUGGUUCACUUUGACUUGACAUAGGUCUUAAGAAAAAAUUUAUUAGAAACUUUCCUUACUAAUAAAUUUAUUUAUAUAUUUUGAAAACCUAAAUUUGAUGAUUAGUACUUUAUAAUUUUUUCAUCAUAGAUUUAAUGUUAGGAUAAAAUAAUAGUCUCUUUUAAUUUUCUAAAAUAAAUAAGUAAGAAGGAACAUAACAUUUUUAGCAUAAAGAUAAAUAAAAAGAAAUAUAGGAUAUUUAUUUAAUUUUAAUAUUUAAUUAAAAUUAAUUAAAAUAAAUUAUCAUAUUUCGUGUUUUGUUUUUCAAGAAUCAAUUUGAAUAAUUUAUAAAGAUAAAUUAAAUAUAAUUAAUUUAAUAUUUUUAAUUAAAAAUUGGAUAUUCAAAAACUAUGCAAAAUGUCCUUUAAAUUGCAAUUUUUCUCAUUUCAAUACGAUGAAAGAUAUAUCUUAAAAUGUUGGUCACAAUUUAUAUUAUUUGACUAUAAAAAAGAAACCUAUGACAAAUAAAAAGAAAAGAAGAGAAUAAAAAAUUGAAUAUAAAUAGCAGUAAAUAUUUACCCUCACAUUAAAAUGAAAAAUAUUGUGGGAAUAUUAUUUACCUUUUACGUAUUCAAAUAAAUAUUAUACAGAAGAAAUGAGAGAUAAUUAUCUAUGGGACCCAUCAUAUUCAAUAGCAUCUAUUGCAUGAGUGGUAAUCUAUUGAAAAAGGGUGAACUUUAUUUAAAAUUGCUGAAACAGUCCAACAAAUAAAGCACAAACACAUAAUAGAUAUUUAACCAAGAUUACUCUACAAAAUGAUUUAAAGUCUGUUAUGUCCUUAAACUUUUUAUUCUAUACCUAGAAACUAAUACGUCGAAACCUAUGAGUUUUAAGUUGGUUGAAUAGACGACACUCUUAUAACGUGCAUGCACUUUUCAGCCCACAUAAUUACUAAAGGGGUAAACAAUACAAAAAUAAAUAACUAAUAGGUCAUAGGACUUCUGCAUAGUUUGUGUGUGGGAUUGACAAUUUUCACUAUAAUUCAUGUGUAUUUUUAUGCCUUAUUCCUUCAUAUUUUAUUAUGUUAAGAGUGUACUUGAACUGAUCAUUUAGUCUAACUUAACAAUUGGCAUAUAAAAUUAAUAGAUUGAAGAGACGAGUAUUGAAAUGGAGCAAUAAUCAUCUAACUUAUGAUUUCGAUGGCCAAAAUGUCAGAUCAAAUCUCUAGAAGAUAUCUUAAAGUAUAACUUCCCACUUCCUAGUUUCCUUAGAAAAUAAUUUCAUGAUUGAAAUACUAAUAAUAUAUCACCAUCCAAAAAAAAAAAAAUACUAACCAUUUGAUAAAAUGUAGAUAUACCAUUUUGAAAAUUAUUCAUACUGAAAGCAAUAUACAUAUAGAGAGAGUCAGACUUCUUGCUACACCACUAAAAAAAGGUCAAAAAAAGAUGACCAGUGUCUCUUUUUUGGCCAAAAUCGACGGAAAAGUGACACUGUCACUUGCGUCGCAAAAAGGCCAAUUGUUUUUUGAAAACAACGGCCUGUGUCGCUUUUUUUUUUUACGACGGAUAACAUCGUUUUUUGAAAAAAAAAAGUUGUUUUAGUUAUUUUUAGAAAAAGCGAUGUUGUGCGUCGUUUUUGUUCUUCAUGUGAAGAACAAAUGAUGAAUAAAUAACGACGAACAUCGUCAUUUUAUUGAAGAAAAAAAUAAUUUUUUUUCAUAAAAAACGAUACUGUCCACCGCUUUAUGAAAAUAAUAACAUUUUUCUUCAGAAAAAGCGACGUUGUUCAUCGUUUUUUGUUCUUCAUGAUGAAGACAAAAAGCGAAGAACAACAUCACAUUUUUGAAAAUUUAUUUUAAAAAUUUUCAGAAAAACGACGAACAAAAGGGACCUUGUCCGUCGCUUUUCUGUAUAUUUUUUAAAUGUAGAAAUCUGCAUAUUCUGCAUCCCACCUACCAAAUAAAAAUGCAAUUCAAUAUAUACAGUCUCAUGCAACACACAUUUCUAAAAUAACCAUACAACGCACUACAUUAUCAAAAUAUUUAAGCAAUCCAAAUCAACAACACUUAAGAAAUCAAAUCCAAAAUCCAAAACACUCAAUAAUUAAUCCAACAAUAAUCAAAACACUUAAACAAUCCUAAAGUUUCUUCAUUAGAGUUUAUAGGCGUCCUAGAUUUCUUCUUAGCAGUUGACUUCGAACUCUUAUCAGGACGAGGCCGAUCGCCGUCACCACCGGAUGUCAUCUGUCUGCAAAUUUACAUCAAAACAUAUAAAAAUCAAGUCAUUAGUUCAUAUUUCAGGUGACUACAUUUAACUAUUUUCAAGCUACUAGUACACAUUUCAAAACACUACACUGAACCAUUUUCAACUCUCUAAUUCACAUUUCAAGUGACUAAACUUAAUCAUUUUCAAGUCAUGAAUUCAUAUUUCAAGUGAAAAUAGUAAACCAAUUUCAAGUCAUGAAUUCACACUUUCAAUUGAUUAUACUUUACUAAUUUCAAAACAAAAGUUCACCUUUCAAGUAAAUAAACUAAACCAUUUUCAAGUCACUAAUUCUCUUCUCAAGUGACUACACUUGAUCAACUUUGAAGUCACUAGUACACAUUUCAAAACACUACACUGAAUCAUUUUCAACUCUCUAAUUCACUUCUGAAGUGACUAAACUUAACCAUUUUCAAGUCAUGAAUUCACAUUUCAAGUGACAACACUAAACCAAUUUCAAGUCAUGAAUUCACACUUUCAAUUAAUUAUACUUUACUAAUUUCAAAACACAAGUUUACCUUUCAAAUAACUACACUAAACUAUUUUCAAGUCACUAAUUCACUUCUCAAGUGACUACACUUUGAUCAAUUUUGAAGUCACUAGUACACAUUUCAAAACACUACACUUAACCAUUUUCAACUCUCUAAUUCACUUCUCAAGUGACUAAACUUAACCAUUUUCAAGUCAUGAAUUCACAGUUCAAGUGACAACACUAAACCAAUUUCAAGUCAUGAAUUCACACUUUCAAGUGAUUACACUUUACUAAUUUCAAAACACAAGUUUACCUUUAAAGUAACUACACUAAACCAUUUUCAAGCCACUAAUUCACUUCUCAAGUGACUAUACUUGAUCAAUUUGAAGUCACUAGUACACAUUUCAAAACACCACACUUAACCAUUUUCAACUCUCUGAUUCACUUCUCAAGUGAUUAAACUUAACCAUUUUCAAGUCAUGAAUUCACAUUUUAAGUGACAACACUAAAUCAAUUUCAAGUCAUGAAUUCACACUUUCAAGUGAUUAAACUUUACUAAUUUCAAAACACAAGUUUACCUUUAACUUUACUAAUUUCAAAACACAAGUUUACCUUUAAAGUAACUACACUAAACUAUUUUCAAGCCACUAAUUCACUUCUCAAGUGACUACACUUGAUCAAUUUGAAGUCACUAGUACACAUUUCAAAACACCACACUUAACCAUUUUCAACUCUCUAAUUCACUUCUCAAGUGAUUAAACUUAACCAUUUUCAAUUCAUGAAUUCACAUUUUAAGUGACAACACUAAACCAAUUUCAAGUCAUGAAUUCACACUUUCAAGUGAUUACACUUUACUAAUUUUAAAACACAAAUUUACCUUUCAAGUAACUACACUAAACCAUUUUCAAGUCACUAAUUCACUUCUCAAGUGACUGCACUUGAUCAAUUUGAAGUCACUAGUACACAUUUCAAAACACCACACUUAACCAUUUUCAACUCUCUAAUUCACUUCUCAAGUGAUUAAACUUAACCAUUUUCAAUUCAUGAAUUCACAUUUUAAGUGACAACACUAAACCAAUUUCAAGUCAUGAAUUCACACUUUCAAGUGAUUACACUUUACUAAUUUUAAAACACAAAUUUACCUUUCAAGUAACUACACUAAACCAUUUUCAAGUCACUAAUUCACUUCUCAAGUGACUGCACUUGAUCAAUUUGAAGUCACUAGUACACAUUUCAAAACACCACACUUAACCAUUUUCAACUUUCUAAUUCACUUCUAAAUACUGAACCAUUUUCAAGUCAUGAAUUCACAUUUUAAGUGACAACACUAAACCAAUUUCAAGUCAUGAAUUCACAUCUAAAUUCUAGUAGGAUUUAUACAACUACAUAGAGUCAUCCUAUAAUAUUAGCUACUGCCUCCUAACAACAAUACAUAUAAAAUAUCCCCUAAUCAUUUUUAAAAAAAAAAACUUCAAAAUAAUAGGAUAAUAUUAAGCCCAAGGAUUCCAAUAACCUUUCCAUGAGCUCAUCGCAAUCAUACAUACACAAUUAUCAAAUAAAACAUGCAUUUAAGAAGGGGCAAAAAUAGGCAGUUGCCUUGCCUUAGUUUUUUCUAAAAAAAAUUAUCCUCUUAACUUGUAUCUCUUAAAGAUCUUGAUUCAUUCACACAAACAGAAUUCACAAGGGAAACACACGAGGGAGUACUCAACAACUAUUCACAUUUCCCAAAAUUCACAGUACUAACAAACAAUUUGGUCAACACAAAAUAGAAAUAUGAAAAUACUCAACCGUAAUAUGUAUAAGAAAAUAAAAAAAAAUAGUACUUCUAAAAAUUAAAAAAAAAAAUUUAAAGUAUAUUUUAAAGAAUAUAAAAGAUACCUAGUUGAAUAUAUUGAUGAUGAAAGUUUGGAGAGAAGUGAAAAUGGGAGUUUCAGUUAUUUUUGAGUAAGAAGUAAAAGGUUGGUUGGUUGUCGGCGGCUGAAGGAGGGCGUCUGUCGGCGGUGAUAGCGUGGACAGAUAGUUGGUUGUCGGUGGCUGUUGUGGUUGUGGUGGUGAUGGUGCGGACAGUGAAGGGCAUCGCCGGCGAUGGCGCCGGCUGUGAAGGUGGCCGGAGUUUAGAGAGAGCGAGAGAGGAGAUGUAAUUAAAAUUGUUGAGAGUGAGUUUAGGGUUUUGAUAUUUGGGUGUUUUUAUAUGAAAAACAAGGUUUAAUCUCAACCUUCAAUCUCAUGAGAUGGACGACUGUGAUUAAAAUUGAAAAGAAAAUUGAAAAUUGAUUUAAAAAAUGAACCAAAUUGAAUUCAAAAAUAGGUUAAUAUUGACAUCAAUUAGAUAUAAGGUUAGUAAGAAUUUAAAUAAAAUUAAAAUGAUAAUUGAAUGGACUUAGACUGCUAGUUAAAUAUAAAAAUAAAUUCAUAAUAAUAAUAAAUAAAUAAUAUUAUGAAAAUUGUUAUUCUUACAAAUAAAUUACGUAUGUCACAGAGAAAAUAUUAUAUAAAAAUUACCGAUAAUAAAUAUGAAAUAAGUUGGGCAUAAAUGUAAUAAUAAUAAUAAUAAAGGUGACAUCUUUUUAUUGUUUUCUCUAUGAGAUUCUGAGAAAAUGAAUACAAUAAUUAGCCCGAUUUAGUCUCACAAAUUAGAUUUUGUGGAGGGUACAAUGUACGUAGACCUUACCGCUAAGGUAGAUAGGUUGUUUUCAAUAGACCAAGAAACAUAGUCUGAAGUAGUCCGAUUUCAAGAAAAAAAAUACUGAAAAUUGAUUUAAUAUUGAUCAUUGAUCAAAUAUGAUGAAUGGUUGGAAUUAAAAUUGAGGAGAUGAGCCAAUUAAGAUUAAAAAUUGGGUUAAAAAAGAUUGAAUUGGGGAUUUUGAUUGAGUCCAACUAAACUCAAUUGACACAAAUUGAGUAUAAUAUGGCUAGAAUUUAAAUAAAUUAGAAAAAUUGAAUUGAAUUAGGUUGAUAUUUAAUAAGUAUAGUAACUAUAUAAAAUUAAUCUUAAAAAAUAAAUAAAAUUAUUAUAUUCAAAUUAAUUAUAAAUAAAUUGUGUAAAUAAAAUUAAUAAUGUCAAUCGCAUAAUAAUGUCAAUGCAUUUCAUAUUCUACAAAUAAUUUUUGAUUAAUUAAUUUUUGAGUACGGUAUUAAAUAUAUAUAUCUCGUAAUACAACGUAUUAAUCUGAUGAAUUAUCUAUUAAUUAGUUUUAUUAUUAUAACUUCAAUAGUGUAUUAUUACCUCGAUCAUAUGAUGUUACAUAUUAUUCAAAAUAUUUGGAUAGAUAGCUUCAGUUAGCUAGCUUCUGACUACUAUUUAAAUCACUACACGAGAGAGACAUAUACAUACAUACAUACAUACAUACAUACAUAUGUGUGUAUAUAUAUAUUUAUAUAUAUAUAUAUGCAUACAUACAGACACACACACACAUAUAUAUAUAUAUAUAUGAUUGACUAUCAACUUCGAAAUAUGUACUAUAUACAUCACAUACACGAGUAUAUUACCUCGUAAUACAAAGUAUUUCAUAUAUACUCAAAUGAAUUUUCAUUUAAUUUAACUUAUAUUAUUAUAUUAUAACUUCAACAGUAUAUUUUACCUUGAUCAAUAUAUUGUAUGAUAUCAAUGUAUUGAAUAUAUAAUUGAAUAUAUUUAAUUUUUUAAAAUAUAAAAAUUAUUUAUUUAGUGGUAAAUUAAAAAUAUCAAAUAUCGACGGACAGUUUUGCUUUCAUAAAGUUAAUUUUUAUUUAUUUUUAACAAAAAACGACAUUGUUCAUUGCUUUUUGUAAAAAAAAUAUAGAAAAAUUAAAAAUAAUUAAAAUUGUGACGGAUAGCAUUGCUUUUCUGGAACUUAUAUUUUAAGAAAAAAAUUAUAGCGACGUUGUCCGUCGAUUUUAAUAAAAAUAAAUAAAAAUAAAAAUUAAAUUUAAAAAUCGACGGACAACGUCGCUUUUUAUCAGAAAUUUAAUUUUUAUUUAUUUUUAACAAAACCAACACUGUCCGUCACUUUUUGUAAGAAAUACAGAAAAAUAAAAAUAAUUAAAAAUUGCGACGUACAAAGUCGCUUUUCUAGAAUGAAAUUUUAAAAAUAAAAAAUUAUAGCGACGUUGUACAUCGAUUUUAAUAAAAAUAAAAAUUAAAUUUAAAAAUAGACGGACAACGUUGCUUUUUUAAAACUAAUUAUUAUUAUUAUUAAAUAAAUAACGAAGAUAUCCGUCACAUUUAUUAAAAAAAUAUAAAUUAUUUUUUAAUUAGUUGGCAUAAUAAUUCGCGAAAAAAAGUGACGGAUAUUAAGACGUUGGCCGUCGAUUUGAAUAAAAAUAAAUAAAAAUUAAAAUUUAAAUUAAAAAAGCGACGGAUAGUGUCGCUUUUCUUGUCGUUUUUUAAAGGAGACACAAUUCUUCGCUUUUUUAUGCGUUGCUUUUGGCCUUUUUAGUAGUGAUAAUGUCAUCUCGUUAUAACGAUAUUUUAUUAUAGCGAUUUGAUUUUCUCUGAAAAUGAUAUUUUAUGUUAUAUUUUACUUCUCUAUAAUUGCAUUUUACAUGUAAUAAUAAUGACAUUUAUUAUAGUGGUACACUUUGUAAAAUUACCUCUCUAUAACAAUAUACUCAAAAUUUAUGUAAUAAUAUUUGCUAAGAAAUAUAUUAUGUAUAAAAUAAAAGAGUUAAUACAUAAAAACUGACCCUAAACUUGACACCAAAUUAUAAUUUUGACCUUAAACUUUGAUAGUGCAUAAAUAGGACCUUUAACUAUUCAAAACCUGAACAAAUAUGACCUCCAAUUUUGCAACCCCAUGCGUGAGUUUCACUCGCGCCUACGUAGAAAGGUAAUCCAAUCACACGGUGCCAAAUCGUUAAAAGGGCUGACUUGGAGGGAGGUCAUAUUUGUGCAGUUUUGAAUAGUUAAAGGUCAUAUUUGUGCACUGUUAAAGUUUUGAUUUUUGUGUUAAAAAGGCAUUAUUAUUAUUAUUAUUAUUAUUAUUAUUAUUAUUAUUAUUAUUAUUAUUAUUAUUAUUAUUAUUAUUAUUUCUAUAGAUGCAACACCUAACUUUUUUUUUAAUUAAAAAAUCGAACCUGCACAGUAGGCUGAAGGAAGCGCUCAAGAAGAGCAAAUAAUACCACUGGGCUAUCUAAGUGCCUUGUUUCAUGUGGUUCAACAUUAAUAUACGUACAUAAAUACACAUUUUCUAUAUUAUAUAUAUACAACAUAAUUUUUUUACCAAGGGGGUUCGGGUGAACCCCAUGGCAACCACGUAGGUCGGCCCCUCGUUAAUUUAAUAACGUUUUAGUAACGUUAAUUUAAUAAUAUUUUAAUUACGUUAAUUUAAUAUACUACUACUACUACUAUCCUUAAUAACAUUAAUUUAAUUACGUUUUAUUAAACUAUAAUAUUUUUAUUAUUAGUAUAGUUUCAUCUUUAAUUUAAUUUUUGAAUAAAUAAUAUUUAGAUAUAUUAUAUAACUUAAAUUCGUCCUCUGCUUUAUUAUAUCUAUACAUACCCGCUCGAUUUUUUCAUAUGAGGCUGACCCGCCUAAUUAAUAAAUCUUCAAUAUUGCCCUUUUUCCGCAAUGACAAAAGAAAUUAGAUGUCAUUUUCAUCUUUGAGCUGAAAAUAAUUAAAAAAUAAUAGUAAAGAGUCAUUUAAAGGUCAUAUUUGUACAGUUUUGAAUAGUUAAAGGUCAUAUUUGUGCACUGUCAAAGUUUAAGGUCAUAUUUAUGUAUUAUGCCCUUAGAUUUUAAGUUGGACGCACCCAUUUUUGCGUGUUGAACACGCGUUUUGCCACAUAGGAUUGGAGGUCAUAUUUGUGCAGUUUUGAAUAGUUAAAGGUCAUAUUUGUGCACUGUCAAAGUUUAAGGUCANNNNNNNNNNNNNNNNNNNNNNNNNNNNNNNNNNNNNNNNNNNNNNNNNNNNNNNNNNNNNNNNNNNNNNNNNNNNNNNNNNNNNNNNNNNNNNNNNNNNNNNNNNNNNNNNNNNNNNNNNNNNNNNNNNNNNNNNNNNNNNNNNNNNNNNNNNNNNNNNNNNNNNNNNNNNNNNNNNNNNNNNNNNNNNNNNNNNNNNNNNNNNNNNNNNNNNNNNNNNNNNNNNNNNNNNNNNNNNNNNNNNNNNNNNNNNNNNNNNNNNNNNNNNNNNNNNNNNNNNNNNNNNNNNNNNNNNNNNNNNNNNNNNNNNNNNNNNNNNNNNNNNNNNNNNNNNNNNNNNNNNNNNNNNNNNNNNNNNNNNNNNNNNNNNNNNNNNNNNNNNNNNNNNNNNNNNNNNNNNNNNNNNNNNNNNNNNNNNNNNNNNNNNNNNNNNNNNNNNNNNNNNNNNNNNNNNNNNNNNNNNNNNNNNNNNNNNNNNNNNNNNNNNNNNNNNNNNNNNNNNNNNNNNNNNNNNNNNNNNNNNNNNNNNNNNNNNNNNNNNNNNNNNNNNNNNNNNNNNNNNNNNNNNNNNNNNNNNNNNNNNNNNNNNNNNNNNNNNNNNNNNNNNNNNNNNNNNNNNNNNNNNNNNNNNNNNNNNNNNNNNNNNNNNNNNNNNNNNNNNNNNNNNNNNNNNNNNNNNNNNNNNNNNNNNNNNNNNNNNNNNNNNNNNNNNNNNNNNNNNNNNNNNNNNNNNNNNNNNNNNNNNNNNNNNNNUUGAGAGUACAAUAAUGAUGAAACUGUUAAGGGGAUCUUAUAAAAAGUUACAUCAUGUGUAAAGGUAAUGGGAGAAGAACGAGGUUGAGAGAACACCCUUGGAUUAGUUGAUUGUGGAUUACUGCCCGGUUACUAUUUUAGUAAGUUUAAAUGGCGUGAAUAUGUUAAUUAUCUACUAAUACUAGUCUUAUGCUAUUGUAGAUUAGUAAUCUAAAAGGAAAGACGUUAAGUGAAAGUGUGAUCAGUUGUGCAGCAAGGUAUGUAUGGUUCAUCGAUCCUACCCUUUGACAUGAAUCUAACUCCUUUGUUACAAAGAAAGUUUCCUAAGCGUUCUUCCUUUCAAGUUAUACAUAACUACAACGUACAACCCCCAAGGUGGUUAACAACCUUAUUCUACCUUGUCAAGUUGUUAAAGUACCUAAAGAUGUGUUUGUUACUAAAUCUGUCCAUUUCCUUUCUAAAUACUAGUAUGAUAUGGGUGCUUUCAGAAAUAAGCCUUACGAGUUGUUCUCUUAGUUAACAUGACCCAUGAUGUUAGCUAAGCUCCUAUGUGUUAUAUUUCUAUUAUCAUUGUAUUCAACCUCAUUACUACUGUAUUUAGUGCAUAUUUGCACGCCUUUGGCUACUGGUCCAAAGUUCCAAAUCUAAUACAUGACCACCAAAACAACUUUAAAGAUGAAAAAAAUGAUCUAAAGUGAGUCUAUAUCUUUUGGGUGGUAUCCUAAGGGUGGAGGAAACACCUAGCAUGGGUCGAUCCCAAUAUUACGGGUGGUAUCCUAGGGACAAAAGGAAAGCCUACCAUGGGUCGAUCUCGAUUUGUAUACUUAUGAGGAACGCAUCCCAGGGGUUAAAAUGCCUAGUAUGGGUCAUCCUCUUUUACCACUGAUCAGCUGGUCAUUUGUAUUAUGCCUUAUAAUCUUAUAAAGUAAAGAAGAAUAAAGCAAAGUAAAGGAUAUAGUGUACAUGAUUCCAUAAGCAUAAGCAAAGUUGGUAUUCUAUCCUUAUCUUUAUAGUUAUAUAUUGAUAACUGAUUUUGUUGAGAUCUUGUCUUAUUUAUAGUCAUUUCAUGCCGUACAUACUCAGUACACUCUUUUUAUAGACACCCUUCGUGGGGGACACUAUUUUUCAUGCCGCAGGUACAGGUACUCUAACUAGUAGACCACCCCAGUAAGAGCACAGGACAUCCAGCUGCUAUUGGUGAGCUCCAAGUUGAUUUGGAGCUUUUCGAGUCUGUUAUAUAUUUUGGUAUUGUGUAGUAGUUAUAAGCAAGGUGGGGGUUUGUACCGACCUUAACUAAGUGUCCAGGUGUCUUUUAGAGGCUUUGCAUACUAUGUAAAAAGUGUGGUAGUAUUGUGUUCUUUUAAUGUUGUGGCCCCAACGGCAAAGUCUUGUAUAUGUAGGUUUGGACUUACUUACGUGGUUUGUUUUAUCAAUCCAUUUUAUCCAUACUAGCAAAAGCUUUGAAUGCCAUAAUUAUAUGUAUGAAAAGUACAUGGUUAAGAGUUGGUUCUCCUAAAAUAAGUGCCUGUCCGCCCCAAUGGAAUUUGAGGCGUGACAAAAUUGGUAUCAGAGCAGGUCAUCCUAGGGAGUUGUCUGCAAAGUCGUGUCUAUGUAGAGUCUUGCUUAUGGGUGUAUUGUGCACCACAUCUCUAAGUAGGAGGCUACGAGGCAUUUAGGAGUUGUUUCUUUUUCUUUUUUUCUUAGAUCGUGCGAUAGAGCCAAUAAUGUAGGUUGACUUGUAUUUAACCUUAAAUAUGUUUUUUUUUAAUAUAGUAAUAAUGCCGAUUACAAGAAGGAGUAAGAGUAAGAAGAGUAAACAAGUAGAUAUGGCUGCCGGAGAAAGGAUAAGUAAAACACCACCUAGAUAUGCUGAUCAAAGUGAGGCCCAAGAUGAGUUUGCAUCACGGACUUCUUCUACUCCUCCAUCUCCAGAAGAGUUAAGGAGGAGGGGAGUACCCCCAGAGUCACCUAUUAAUGCUACUGAGUAAGAUUUUAGUUAUGCGGUGCAAUUAUUAACACGUAUAGUUGCUGGACAAGGUCAAGGACAAGCUGGUCCAACUAUGGGUUCUAGUGGUGUGGAUAGGGCAGCCAGUUUAUGGACCCAAGAUUUCCUUAAAUUGGACCCUCCUCAAUUUACUGGUUCAGAUCCUAAUGAAGAUCCACAAAACUUUAUUGAUCAGAUUCAAAGGGCUUUAGAUGUUAUGCAUGUAUUUGGUAAAGAGACAGUGGAGUUAGCAGCAUAUCGAUUAAAGGGGGUGGCUAUAUUGUGGUAUGAAGCUUGGAAAAAGUCAAGGGGUAUAGGUGCACCUUUAGCUAGUUGGGAAGAAUUCAAAACAACAUUUCUUGAUCAUUAUCUUCCAUUUGAUAUUCGGGAGACCCGUGUAGAUCAGUUUUUAAAUCUUUGCCAAGGAAAUAUGAGCGUGAGGGAGUACAGUCUUCAAUUUAAUUCUUUGGCCAGGUAUGCUCCUAACGUAGUGGCUACUAUGGAGGAUAGAGUUCAUCGAUAUAUGGAUAGAUUGGACCCAUAUUUGGUUAGAGAUUGUACUAUUUCUGCCUUGAAUAAAGACAUGAAUAUAGCAAGAAUACAAGCAUUUGCUCAAAAAAUAGAGGAUCAAAGGCAAAGAAGGACACAAGAGCUGGAAAGAGGGCACUCCAAGAGGGCUAGAUCUAUGGGACAAUUUUUUCCAUCUCAGAGUGAAUUCAGGCCUCGAUUUUUCGAUAGACCCCCUAGACCAUCACCUUCCUACUCCACAUCAGGUGCUUCUCCUCGAUUCCAGGGGUUUAAGGGAAAUCAAUUCAGGCAAAAAAAUGAGAGUAAAGGUUCACAAGUAGUAUCGAGAGCAAGGAGAUGCAAGCCAAUCAAGACCUCCUAGACAGCUUUGUAAGCAUUGUGGAAGAAAUCAUCUAGGUGCAUAUCAGUUUGGGAUAAAUUCUUGUUAUUGGUGUGGCAUACCGGGACACAUAAUGAGAGAUUGCCCAAAAAGGGGCAUGACUGAUAUGGCAUGACCUACUGGAUCUACUGUUGCAUCAUCAUCCUUGGUUCCUUCUUUUGGUAGGGGUCAGCAGAUACCUACUGGUCAUGGUAGCGGUGUUAAGGGAGCUAGUUUUAGUGGUGUUCAGAAUUGUACAUAUGCUCUAGCAGGUAGACAAAAUUUGGAGGCUUCUCCUGACGUGGUUACAGGUACAUUGUCUAUCUUUUCACAUAAGGUAUAUGCAUUAAUUGAUCCAGUCCCUACAUUAUCAUAUGUUACUCCAUUAAUUGCUGAAAAGUUCAAAAAAACACCAGAAUUACUAGCUAAGCCAUUUAAAGUGUCUACACCAAUUGGAGAAUCUAUUAUAGCUAGAAGAGUUUACCGUAAUUGUAUAGUAACUAUUUGUAAUCUUGAUACAUUGGCUGACCUUUUGGAGAUUGAAAUGGUGGAUUUUGAUAUUAUAAUGGGUAUGGAUUGGCUGUCUUCUUAUUAUGCCACAGUGGAUUGUCGAGCUAAGAGGGUGCAUUUCCAUUUUCCAAAGGAAGCAGUCCUUGAGUGGAGGGGUAAUAUUGGGGCACCAAGGGGUUCCCUACAUUAUCAUAUGUUACUCCAUUAAUUGCUGAAAAGUUCAAAAAAACACCAGAAUUACUAGCUAAGCCAUUUAAAGUGUCUACACCAAUUGGAGAAUCUAUUAUAGCUAGAAGAGUUUACCGUAAUUGUAUAGUAACUAUUUGUAAUCUUGAUACAUUGGCUGACCUUUUGGAGAUUGAAAUGGUGGAUUUUGAUAUUAUAAUGGGUAUGGAUUGGCUGUCUUCUUAUUAUGCCACAGUGGAUUGUCGAGCUAAGAGGGUGCAUUUCCAUUUUCCAAAGGAAGCAGUCCUUGAGUGGAGGGGUAAUAUUGGGGCACCAAGGGGUAAGUUUGUUUCUUAUAUUAAGGCAAGGAAGAUGAUAUACAAAGGAUACAUAUGCCAUCUAGUAAGGGUGAAAGAUAUAGAGGCAGAGUCACCAACUCUUCAAUCCAUCUCAGUGGUAAAUGAAUUUUUUAACGUAUUUCCUGAAGAGCUUCCGGGUUUACCUCUGGAAAGAGAAGUGGAGUUUGGUAUUGAUGUGAUCCCAGGUACUCAACCGAUUUCUAUUCCUCCUUGUAGAAUGGCCCCUGCAGAAUUAUGUGAAUUGAAGGAACAAUUAAAAGAUUUGUUGGAAAAGGGUUUCAUAAGGUCUAGUAUAUCUCCUUGGGGCGCACUUGUGUUAUUUGUACGUAAAAAAAAUGGCACGUUGAGAAUGUGUAUUGAUUAUCGACAGUUAAAUAAGGUGACAAUUAAGAACAAAUAUCCCCUUCCUAGAAUUGAUGAUUUGUUUGAUCAUUUACAAGGUGCUAAGUGUUUCUCAAAGAUUGACUUAAGGUCAGGUUAUCAACUGAGAGUAAAGAAGAAAGACAUACCUAAAACGGCUUUUCGAAUGCGAUAUGGUCAUUUUGAGUUUUUAGUUAUGUCAUUUAGGCUAACUAAUGCACCAACAGCUUUCAUGGAUUUGAUGAAUAGAGUGUUUAAGCCAUUCUUGGAUGUAUUUGUUAUCGUAUUUAUAGAUGAUAUUCUGAUGUAUUCAAAAUGAGAAGAAGACCAUCCUAAUCAUUUACGAUAGGUGUUACAAAUCCUUUGCGAUCGUAAGUUGUAUGCAAAGUUCUCCAAAUAUGAGUUUUGGUUAAAAUCGGUAGCAUUCUUGGGUCAUAUUCUAUCCGAUGAAGGAAUAAGAGUUGAUUCUCAAAAGAUAGAGGCAGUGAAGAACUGGCCAAGAUCCAUGACGCCUACGGAGGUUCAUAGUUUCCUAGGCUUGGUAGGUUAUUAUAGAAAGUUCGUUGAGGGGUUUUCUUCUAUUUNNNNNNNNNNNNNNNNNNNNNNNNNNNNNNNNNNNNNUGUGAAAGAAGUUUUCAAGAUUUGAAGAAUAAGUUGACUUCUACACCCAUAUUAGUACUUCCAGAUGGCACGGAAGGCUAUGUGGUAUAUUGUGAUGCUUCAGGAGUUGGCUUAGGAUGUGUUUUGAUGCAACAUGGUAAAUUAAUAGCUUACACCUCAAGACAAUUGUGGCCACAUGAGAAGAAUUAUCCAACACAUGAUCUUGAGCUAGCAACAGUUAUAUUUUCCUUAAAAAUAUGGUGCCACUAUUUGUAUGGGGUACAUGUUGAUAUAUAUACCGACCAUAAGAGUUUGCAGUACCUCUUUAACCAAAGGGACCUAAACUUGAGGUAGCGAAGAUGGCUUGAGUUGUUAAAAGACUAUGAUGUUGAUAUCUUAUAUCAUCCGGGCAAAGCAAAUAUGGUAGCCGAUGCACUAAGUCGUAAGGCGAUGGCAAGUAAUUAUAGUCAGCCCAUGGGAAGGCAAGGGAUAGCUAAGGAUCUAUACCAAUUAGCUAGCUUAGGGGUUUGCCUUAUUGAAUCUUCAGAUAGAGGCGUUAUUGUGCAAAAUGCAGCAGAAUCCUCAUUAGUAGCCGAAGUUAAAGUGAAAUAAUACAUAGAUCCUAUUCUUUUACAGCUUAAGGAAAAUGUACAACAAGGUGUAACAAAGGCAUUUGAGCUUACAGAAGAGGGAAUACUUUGAUGCCAAAACAGAUUAUGUGUACCUAAUGUAAAUGGGCUAAGAAAGAAAAUUAUGAUGGAGGCACAUCAUUCAAGAUAUUCUAUCCAUCCCGAUUCAAGGAAAAUGUAUCAUGACUUGAAAGAGGUGUAUUGGUGGGGCGACAUGAAGAAGAACAUUGCAGAAUUUGUAGCUGAAUGUCCAACUUGUCAACAAGUCAAAGUGGAGCACCAAAAGCCAGGAGGUUAUAUGCAACUUAUGGAGCUCCUAACUUGGAAGUGGGAUAUGAUUAACAUGGAUUUCAUCACUGGUCUACCUCGAUCAUCUCAAAAAUUUGAUUCUAUAUGGGUAAUAGUUGAUAGACUCACCAAAUUGGCACACCAUCUACUGGUAAGACUACGUACACAGCUGAAGAGUAUGCAAAAUUAUAUUAAAGAGAUAGUUCGGCUGCAUGGAGUCCCAAUCUCUAUUAUAUUUGAUAGGGGAGCUCAAUUUACCGCACAUUUUUGAAGGUCAUUCCAGAAGAGUUUAGGAACACAAGUGAGUUUAAGCAUAGCUUUUCACGCUCAAACGGAUGGCCAGGCGGAACGUACAAUCCAAACAUUAGAGGAUAUAUUGCGUGCUUGUAUAUUGGACUUCAAACGUAGUUUGGAUGAUCAUUUGCCACUAAUUGAGUUUGCAUAGAACAAUAGUUAUCACUCGAGUAUCAAAAUGGCUCCUUAUGAAGCUUUAUAUGGCAGAAAGUGUAGAUCACCAAUUGGGUGGUUUGAAGUGAGUGAAACUAUCUUAUUUGGGCCAGAUCUUGUUCAUCAAGCUAUCGAAAAAGUUAAGCUGAUACAACAAUGAUUAGAAACAGCUAAAAGCCGACAUAAAUCAUAUGCGGAUACUAGAAGAAGAGGGUUAGAGUUUGCUAUAGGAGAUUCGGUAUUCUUGAAGGUAUCUCUAAUAAAAGGGGAAAUGAGGUUUGGUAAAAAGGGAAAACUAAGUCCCCGCUACAUAGGGCCAUAUAAAAUUAUUCAAAGAAUUGGCCAAGUGGCAUAUGAGUUAGACCUACCCCAAGAGAUUUUAAUGGUGCAUCCGGUGUUUCAUGUCUCAAUGCUCCGCAAGUGCAUAGGAGAUCCAUCCCAUAUUAUUUCUACUAAAGAUGUGCAGGUUACAGAAGAACUCACGUAUGAAGAAGUGCCUACUGCUAUACUAGAUCGGCAAGUUAAGAAGUUAAGAAAUAAAGAAGUAGCUUCAGUAAAAGUGCUUUGGAGGAGCCCGCAAGUAGAAGAAAUCACAUGGGAAGCUGAAGAAGAAAUGAAGUCAAAGUACCCUCAUUUAUUUAAAUCUAAAGACUUGGUCCAAGGAUGCUGAUUUGGGGAAUAAACAAGUAAGUGUAAAUACACAAGUGUUAUAUAGAUAACAAUGAGUUUAAACUUAGUCUUAUAUUCUUUUACGCUAGCUAGUUAUGCUAGCAUUCGAGGAUGAAUGUUUCUAAGGGGGGUAGGAUGUAACACCUUAUAUUUUGCGUGUACUAGUUCUACUUAUGUGGCACUUGAUAUGGACUUAUGGGGUAGGUAAUGGGCUCGGAUAUCCUAUGUGAUUGGUGACUGUAAGAUAGGUUUGGAGGAAUUCCCAUGUGUACUAAAACGUGGUAUGAUUAAGUUACCUUCGAUGAGAGAAUAUAAACUUGGGCCCUUAAAUAGGUAUUUGAAUCUAAAGGAUGAAGUGACCAAGUUUUAAGUUUAACUAUAAGCAUUUUGAUCUUAAAAUGGAAUAAAAUAUUGAGGUGCUUGGUUGAUUUAUUUUAAGCUAGUAGGUGAAUCACCUACUUUGACCUUUUGACCAACUUAAAAACUAAGUAGGUGAAUCACCUAUUAAGGAUCCCUUGACCAGCUUAUUGGGCCAAAUACACUACCACCUACUUAAGUUAAUUCUGGCCCAAAUUAAAUAAGAGAAAAGGAGGAGAAUGAGCAGCCAAGGCCCAAUAGUUUUUAAUCCACGAAGGCCCAAUAUAAUGAGAAAGUAGGUGCAUAGCCUACUUGAUAAAUUAUGGCCCAAAAAUUACCAAGAAAGUCGGCCAAGAGCAGCUCUUAUUAAAGGGAUUAAAACCAGCCCUUAUAGCUCAUUUUAACUAGCCAAAAAAAAAACAGCUUUCAAGAUUUUCUCUCUUGUUCUCUCUUAGCUAUGCAGCAGCCCUAAAAUUCCACUAGGGUUCUUUGGAAACCUUCCUUCCAAGUUAAAGGUAAGUGAACAAAUCAUGAGCACAUCUUAAGAAUACUAUAAGGAUUAUGUUCUCCAUGAUUAAACUAGAAGAUAUCCCUUUUUAAGUUUGGCAGUACCUUUAUCCUUGAUUUUUAAGAGAUUUUUCUCUUCACUUUUGGUUUGUGAGUAAAGGGAUCAAGCUAUUGAUACAUUAACGGAAUAAAAUACCACCGAAAUUAAGGUAUGACUACUAUUCAUUUUUUCCCUUUUCCUAUAUACGUGUGUUGGUUGAGGAUUGUGUAUAUGUUGUUGUUAAGAACUCAAGGGAUGGUGAGUUCAAUUUCUGGUUGCCAUAUUAAGGGGUAUUUGGGGCUAUUUUGGAUCAGUUUUUUGUAUGUAUGUUGGGGUCUUCUUGGUUGACGUUGGGGGAAUGGUGUGAAUAAUCUUCAUUGAAAGGUAGAAGAAGAGUAUAAUGGUACACCACCAAAUUGAAUGUCGCUUAAGUUUACUGCCCACAUCACUUGAUAUACUNNNNNNNNNNNNNNNNNNNNNNNNNNNNNNNNNNNNNNNNNNNNNNNNNNNNNNNNNNNNNNNNNNNNNNNNNNNNNNNNNNNNNNNNNNNNNNNNNNNAAUCUAACUCCUUUGUUACAAAGUAAGCUUCCUAAGCAUUCUUCCUUUCAAGUUAUACAUAACUAUAGCGUACAACCCCCAAGGUGGUUAACAACCUUAUUCUAACUUGUCAAGUUGUUAAAGUAUCUAAAGAUGUGUUUGUUACUAAAUCUGUCCAUUUCCUUUCUAAAUACUAGUAUGAUAUGGGUGCUUUCAGAAAUAAGCCUUACGAGUUGUUCUCUUAGUUAACAUGACCCAUGGUGUUAGCUAAGCUCCUAUGUGUUAUAUUUCUAUUAUUGUUGUAUUCAACCUCAUUGCUACUGCAUCUAGUGCAUAUUUGCACACCUUUGGCUACUGGUCCAAAGUUCCAAAUCUAAUACAUGACCACCAAAACAACUUUAAAGAUGAAAAAAAUGAUCUAAAGUGAGUCUAUAUCUUUUGGGUGGUAUCCUAGGGGUGGAAGAAACACCUAGCAUCGGUCGAUCCCAAUAUUACGGGUGGUAUCCUAGGGGAAAAAGGAAAGCCUAGCAUGGGUCGAUCUCAAUUUGUAUAGUUAUGAGGAAUGCAUCCCAGGGGUUAAAAUGCCUAGCAUGGGUCAUUCUCUUUUACAACUGAUCAGCUGGUCAUUUGUAUUAUGCCUUAUAAUCUUAUAAAGUAAAGAAGAAUAAAGCAAAGUAAAGGAUGUAAUGUACAUGAUUCCAUAAGCAUAAGCAAAAUUGGUAUUCUAUCCUUAUAUUUAUAGUUAUAUAUUGAUAACUGAUUUUGUUGAGAUCUUGUCUUAUUUAUAGUCAUUUUAUGCUGUACAUACUCAGUACACUCUUUGUAUUGACACCCUUCGUAGGGGACACUAUGUUUCAUGCCGUAGGUACAGGUACUCUAGCUAGUAGACCAACCCAGUAGGAGCACAGGACAUCCAGCUGCUAUUGGUGAGCUCCAAGUUGAUUUGGAGCUUUCCGAUCCUGUUAUAUAUUUUGGUAUUAUGUAGUAUUUAUGAGCAAGGCGGGGGUUUGUUCCGACCUUAACUAUGUGUCCAGGUGUCUUUUAGAGGCUUUGCAGACUAUGUGAAAAGUGUGGUGGUAUUGUGUUCUUUUAACGUUGUGGCCCCAACGGCAAAGUCUUGUAUAUGUAGGUUUGGACUUACUUACGUGGUUUGUUUUAUCAAUGCAUCUUAUCCAUACUAGCAAAAGCUUUGAAUGCCAUAAUUAUAUGCAUGAAAAGUACAUGGUUAAGAUUUGGUUCUCCCAAAAUGGGUGCCUGUCCGCCUCAAUGAAAUUUGAGGCGUGACAAAAAUAAUAGUGAAAAGUCAUUUAAAGGUCAUAUUUAUGCAGUUUUAAAUAGUUAAAGGUCAUAUUUGUGCACUGUCAAAGUUUAAGGUCAUAUUUAUGUAUUAUGCCCUUAGAUUUUAAGCUGGAUGCGUCCAGUUUUGCAUGUUGAACACACGUUUUUCCACGUAGGAUUAGAGGUUAUAUUUGUGCAGUUUUGAAUAGUUAAAGGUCAUAUUUGUGCACUGUUAAAGUUUAAGGUCAACGUUAUAAUUUGGUGUCAAGUUUAAGGUCAUUUUUAUGUAUUAACUCAAUAAAAUAUCAAAAUAUUUAUGACAAUCAUCAUUAAUGUCAUGCAUACAAUAAAUUUCAAGUACGAAUAUAUAAUUUAAAGGGAAAAAAAUUGUAUUUAAAUAGUGCACAUUAAUUAUUUAACAACUUUACGAGGAAACGACAAUUAAUGUUUUUUUUAUAUUUGUGCUCUUUCUAAUUUUACAUACUUUUGUUUAUAAUAGCUAAAUGAGAUUUGAACUUCAAAUGCCAGAAUACAUGUAUGACAACACCUUUCUAUGGCAACUAUGAAAUUUUCAGACAUAUAUAUAUAUAUAUAUAUAUAUACAUAUAUUCUCUUAUUUAUAAGAGGCAAUUUAGCAGCUGAAACAGGCAGGAGGUCAACAUACCUGCUUCAGCUGCUUCAAUUGUGAUUUUACGAUAUCACCUCUAAUUAAUUAUUAUAAGUCAUUUACAUAAUAACAAAUUAAUAAUAUUUAAUUAGAAAAAAUAAAAUAGUUAUUUAUGACAUGUUUUCUUCAGCUGCUUCAACCAUAAUUUUACUGUAUCACCCUUAAUUAAUUAUUAUAAUUCAUCUAAGUAUUAAAAAUUUAAUAAUAUUUAAUAAAAAGGUAAAAUAGACAUAAACUGAAAAUUAACUCUUGAUGUUUUAAAUUAACUUAACAACUUAUAUGAGACCUUCUUAAAUUUUUUUCACAGGUAUUUUUCUAAAGUAAUUUUGAUAAAGGGAGUUCAUCAGCAGAAGCCGAAAGUAGAUCGACAUGCCUGUUUCAGCUGCUUCAAUCGUAAUUUUGCUAUAUUGCAGCUAAUUAAUUAUUAUAAGUCAUCUACAUGUUAGAAAAUUAAUAAUAUUUAAUACAAACAAGUAAAAUAAAUACUUUUGGCAUGUUUGAUUUAACUACUUCGAUCGUGAUUUUAUUAUAUCACCCAUAAUUAAUUAUUAUAAGUUAUCUAAGUAUUUAAAAAAUUAAUAAUACUUAAUAAAAAAUAGAUAUAAAAUGAUAAUCUUACUAUGCCACUUCUAAUUAGUAGAAUGGACGAAAAAUUAUUAUAAAUCAUAAUAAUUUACAACUUAAAUUAUUUUUAAAAUAUAAUUGACUAUCAAUGCUACAAAAGACUGAACAAGGAGAGUAACAUAUAUUAUUUAAAAAUUACAUAAAAAGUACUAAAAAUUACAAUGGUUAACAACUUAAAAUAUCUAAGAACAUAUUAAAAAUAUGAUUAAUUAUCUAAAUUUUAUUCGUGUCACAUAAAUUGAAGCGAAAAAAUAAUUUAUAUUGGGCCGUGCUAGUAUAUAUCUACAAUAUAUUAAAAGUGUGAAGACCUUUAUAAAAGUGAUUUGAAAUUUUUAACCUUCAUUAAAAGACUCUUCUUUAGAUAAAAUUUCCGUUUCAUGAAAUUAUCUUCCAAAGUAUGGUUUUUUUAUAAAAAAAUACCCAAAACAUGGUUUUCAGAAACCUGCAUAUUUUUAUUUUUUAAGCAUCAAAAGUUCUAUAUUUCUAUAGCACAUUAGAUCUUUAAGGUUUUUUGAAUAAGUUGGAAAAUUUUUUUGGGUUAUGCAUGCCACUAAUAUGGAGGGUGUGGAAUUUAUUGCCUACUAAUUGAAAGAUGUAGCAUACCAAUGGUAUGAGGAAAUAGAACAGUCUAGGGGUGAUGAUGCUGAGUUAUCCCUAUGGGAUGAUUUCUCUACUAUAUUCUUGGUCCGCUUCUUAUCUCAGGAGUUGAGAGAGGCUAAGGCAGAAGAGUUUGUUAACCUGAAGCAAGGCAAGAAGUCAGUCAAGAAGUAUGCUUUGAUGUUUCACCAGCUGUCUCGAUAUGCUCUAUAGUUGGUUUCUACCAUGAGGGCUAGAAUAAGAAAGUUCACUUUUGGAUUGUCCCAAGACUUAGUUUUAGAGAGUAAGGCUGCCUUGUUGAAUAAGGACAUGAAUUUAUCCAGGUGGGUUAUAUAAAUAUAGUAGGUUGAGAAAGAAAAGAGGAAGCAUGUGGAGAUAGGGGAAAGAUAGAGCUAGAAGUCUAUAUUUUCUGAGCGGGUGGCAGCCAACAAUAGAGUGGCAGUAAUAGUGGAAAGUGGUCUAAAAAAGUGGGCAAUUCCAGAUCUUACUCGACGGCAAGUGCUCCCUACCCAAAGUCAUCGGGUGAUAAACAUUUUCAUGAUGGCGAUAAUUAUAGGGAACAGGGUGUCCAAUCUCAGGCUAGUGGGGCCCAAUCAGCUCCAUCCUAUCCUCCUUACAAAUUUUAUGGUCGAUCGCAUUGGGGCUACUGUGAUGAAAGAAAGGACAAGUGCUUCCACUGUGGUUAUCUAGGGAACAUGCUUAGAAACUAUUCAAUUAUUAAGGUUGCUUUUAGGGAAAACAAGGUUCCAAUUGCCUUUUCAUCAGCUCCGGUACCAAAGGGUGCAUCAUCUAGCUCUGGCACUGGUCAGAACCGACUCUAUUCUCUUACUACCCAUCAAGAGUCUAAGGCAUCACGUGAUGUCAUUACUGGUAUAUUGAAACUCUUUUCCCAUGAUGUGUACUACUUACUUGAUCCGAGGUCCACUCUUUCUUAUGUGAUCUCAGUGUGAUUGUGGAUUUUUAUUUUGGUCUUGAGUAUAUUUUGAACCUUUUUUCUAUUUAUACCCUGUGGGUAACUCUGUGGUUUCCAGGAGAGUCUAUAGGGGUUGUGUGGUAUCUAUGGGUGGUCGGGAGACUUUGGUAAAUCUGUUUGAGUUAGACAUGGUUGAUUUUGAUGUCAUCUUGGGGAUGAAUUGGUUGCACUCUUGCUAUACUUCUCUAAACUGUCAAACCUGUAAGGUCAUCUUAAAAUUCCCUAAUGAGCUAGUUAUUGAGUGGGAGGGUAGUUCCCUUGCUCCUAAGGGGAGGUUCAUAUCAUAUCUUGGUGCUCUACUAUUAAUCUCCAAGAGGUGUCUCUAUCAUUUGGUCCAGGUUAAAAAUUCUAAAUCAAAAGGUCCUUCUUUACAUUUUAUCCUGGUGGUGAAUAAAUUUCCUGAGGUCUUUUCGUACGACUUUCCUGGUGUUCCUCCCGAUAGGGAGAUUGAUUUUUGGAUAGAUCUUGUUCUGGACACUCAUCUUAUUUCUAUUCUCCCAUCUAGAAUAGUUUUGGCAGAGUUAAACAAGCUUAAGGAGAAACUAAAUGAUCUUUUAGACAAGUGUUUCAUCCAUCCUAGUAUGUCUCCAUGGGGUGCACUAGUACUGUUCAUGCAUAAGAAGGAUGGUUUCCUUCGUAUAUGUAUUGAUUACUGGCAACUGAAUAAGAUGAUGAUAAAGAAUAAGUUCCUCAGAAUUUAUUUGAUCAGCUUCAAAGUCCUAAGUUUUUCUCCAAGAUUGAUAUUUAAUUUGAGUAGCCUUAUCUAAAGAUUAGGGAGAUGGAUAUUCUUAAGACUGCCUUCCAUAACUAAUAUGGGCAUUUUGAGUUUCUGGUUAUAUCUUUUGGAUUGACCAAUUCCCCAAUGACAUUCAUGGAGUUGAUGAAUAUAGUCAUCAAUUUUUGGAUUUUUUCCUCAUUGUGUUCAUAGACAAUAUUCUGGUGUACUCAAAAAGUGAGGUGGAUGAUACCGAUCACCUCCACACUGUGUUGCAGACCCUAAAAAAUUAGUAUAUGUAUGCAAAAUUUUUGAAAUGUGAAUUCAGGUUGAACGCUGUCACUUUUUUGCGCUAUGUCAUUUCUAGUGAAGAGAUCAUGGUAGAUCUGCAGAAAGUUCUAGUGGUUAAGAAAUGGCCUAGACCUAUGACUCCAAUCGAUAUUCGAAGCUUCUUAGGUUUAUCUGGUUACUAUAGGAGAUUUAUGGAACUUUUUUUGGUUAUAGCUAUCUCAUUGACUAAGUUAACUCAGUAAAAAGUUAAGUUCUUAUGGUCUGAUGCUUGUGAUGGUAGCUUUGAGUAGCUGAAGGAUAAACUGACUUCAGAAUCGGUGUUGACUUUGCCUAAAGGCAUGGAUGGUUUUGUGGUUUAUUUUGAUGAGUUCCGAGUGGGGCUUUGUUGCGUUUAGAUGCAACAUGAUAAGGUGAUAGAUUAUACCUCAAAAUAGUUGAAGAUGUAUAAGAAAAAUUACCCAACUCAUGAUUUGGAGCUAUAGGCUAUAGUGUUUGCAUUGCAAAAUCUGGCAUCACUAUUUGUAUAGAGUCCAUGUGGAUAUCUUUUUUCUGAUCAUAAAAGUCUGCAAUAUGUGUUUAACUAAAAAGGGCUUAACCUCAGGUAGAGGAGAUGGUUACUACCAUCUAGGAAAAGCUAACAUGGUUGCUAAUGCUCUUAGUAGGUUAUCCAUGGGGAGUCUAGCUCAUGUGGAUGAGGGAAAGAGAGAAUUAGUGAAAGAUAUUCACUGCUUGGCAAACCUUAAAGUUCAUCUCUUAGACUCUAAGGAAGGUGGUAUAUUUGUUCAGGAGGUGGCGAAGUCGUCCCUGGGUACCGAGGUGAAGGAGAAACAAGUGUUAUAUCCUACCUUGAUGAGGAUCGAGGGUGAUGUAGGUAGGUAGAAAGUAAUGAAUUUUGAGGUUAGUGGUGGUGGUACCUUGAGGUACCGAGUGAUAUUAUGUGUUCCUAAUAUGGAUAGAUUGCGAGAGAGGAUCCUAGAUAAGGUGCAUGAGUCGAGCUAUGCUAUUCAUCCUAGCUUGACAAAAAUGUAUCAUAAUCUUAAAAAAAUGUAUUGGUGGAACAAUAUGAAGUUGGAUGUGGCUAGUUUUAUGGCUAUGUGCAUAGUUUGCCAAUAAGUGAAAGUUGAGCACUUGAGGCUUAGAGGGUUGUAUCAAGAAAUUGAGUUGCCUGUGCGAAAGUGGGAAGUGAUCAACAAGGAUUUUGUUACCAGUCUUCCUCAGUCUUAGAAUUAGUUCGAUUUGAUUUGGGUCUCGUGGAUAGGAUGACUAAGUCUGCUCACUUUUUUCCAGUGAGGACUAGUUUUUUGGUAGAGGAUUAGGGAAGGUUGUACCUUUAAGAGAUUGUGAAAUUGCAUGGGGUAACUAUUUCUAUUAUCUCAGAUCGUGGUAUGCAAUUUUCAUCAUAGUUUUAACGAUUAUUUCAGAAAGGUUUGGGGACCAAGGUGAGUCUUAGUACUGCUUUCCAUCCACAGUCAAAUGGGCAAGCAAAAAGUGCUAUUCAGACAUUGGAAGAUAUGCUUCGUGCUUGCGUGAUUGACUAUAGUGGUAGUUGGGUUAAACUUUGCCUCUUAUAGAGUUUGCAUAUAACAAUAUCUACUACUCUAGCAUUGGGAUGGCUUUGUUUGAGGCCUUAUAUGGAGAAGGUAUAGGUUUCCUAUUGGGUGGUUCGAUGUUGGUAAGGCGGACAUAUUUGGUUCGAAUUUCAUUCAUCAAGCCAUGGAGAAGGUGAAGGUGUUUCGAGAUAGGCUUAAAGCUGCCAAAAUUAUCUUGAGGUUGUCCCUAUGAAGGGAGUGAUGUGGUUUGGGAAGAAUAAAAAUCUUAGUCCUCGGUAUAUUGGUCCGUACUUAGUUUUAAGAAGGGUUGGCAAUGUUGCAUAUGAGUUGGAGUUGCCUUCUAGUUUGAGCUCCAUUCACCUCAUGUUCCAUAUUUUUAUGGUAAGAAAGUGUGUGGGUGAUCCGUCACAAAUUGUACCUAUCAAGGAUAUUAGUAUUUUGGAUAUCCUAUCUUAUGAGAAGGUCCCUGUUGAAAUCUUGGAUCGGCAGAUUUGUUGGUUGUGGACUAAGGACAUAGCUUUGAUAAAGGUCCUGUAGAGGAACCAACAGGUCAAAGAGGCUACUUGGGAAGCUGAAGAGGACAUAAAGUCCAACUAUCCAUUCUUAUUUUCCAUUUUGGAAAAUCAUGCUUUAGGUAUGUGUUGUUCUUAAUAUCAUUGUUUUUCUGUCUUUGUGAAAGGUAGAUUGUGAAAUUCCUUGGUAAUUUAUUUUGUCUUAAAAGUGAGGGUAGAGAUCUUUGGGGGUUUAAUUGUUCUAGUCACUCCCUUGUCCCAUCAUUUGAGUAGAAAAGAUCUAAGUGGGGGAGAAUUGAAACACCCUGGAUUUUGGCCUAUGGAAAAUUCUUGAACUUUGAGCUUACUAUCCUAGUAACAACUCAUCCUAUGAGUCGUAUGGUGUGGGUACGGGUAAGAAGAGCCUAGUUGUUAGGUUUCUAGCAGGUGGUGGUUGGAUUUUCAGUCUUGGUAACGACUUGGUGGUAUGAAUUGUUAGGACGAUCCUUAAGCAAAUCAGUAAGUUAGUGACUUUACUUGGAUCUGAGUACAAGUGGCUUACUAAGAGUCGUGAGGAUAGGUUACGAGUGGUACGGUUGAGUCGUAUGUUGUCCAGUGUCCAAUUCCUUGGAUUUUAUCUUAGAUUCAACUAGAUCAUAUGAGUCUUAUGGUACGAUCACAUGUGGGGUCAAGGAGUUGUAUGGUGGACAGUGUAUGGGUUUCCAACUCAUUAUCUUGGUGACAACUUCAGGGUGCGAUUCGUAUGUUCUGGUCACGAGUCAAAGGUUCAACUCAUAACCACCUGUGGUCUUUUUACAAUUUUAGUUGGGGGUACUUUAGACAUUUCUCACUUAAAACCCUUAAGACCCUAUGUCCCUAUAACACUUUUUGGUCAUUCAUUCCACACUUUAUAAGAUUAACCAUCCUCUUUACUUUCUCAAAAUUCUCUCAAGCAAAAUUGGCUAGUGUUUCUCUAAAGGGGUCAUCUAAGGGCUUAAGGAUCAACUUCUCUCCUUGAAUCUUUGUAAUUCAGGCAUGUGACUCUUCCCUCAUUGCUAGUUUACUAAAGCAGAUGUUUAAAGUAUUAUUCAUGAAUCAUUAGUGGUGGUUUAAAACCAAGGUUGAGGGGUUUGAAUACAUAUCAUUGAAUAUUAUCUUCUAUGGUUUAAAUUGUGAUUAUACAUAUUUUAAUUUUGGUUUUACAUAUAUGGGUGCAUGGGAAUGGUGAUUUAAUUUUGGGGUCAUGGUUGAACCCCAAAAAUUUAAUGAGUUUGGCUUUGAUAAUGGCAUGCCCUUAACUUGGUUAUGAAAUUGUCAAUGAGAAUGAUAUUAUCACAAGUUGAAUUGUGUUUUUGAACUAAGGGUUUGGCAUAGCCAUGAUAGUAACUGAUGAUAGACUUUAUAAAGGUUUUUAUGGAUAUAAAUUGAAUUGAAUUGAAAACCUUGUGGGGUACAUGGGAAUCCCUAAAGUGAUUUUAGUAGUGGAGCCAGUGGGGUAUGAAGGACUCCCCUAAGGGUUGGCGGGUGACAUUGCAUGCAAGCUAUAGUCAGCAUGACGAUACUACUUUAUAAUGCCUUAAUAAUUGAAUCCUAGAAUUGGUGGUUUGGUUAUGUGCUAAAGGUUUUAAUUGUGUAAUAAUGGGGGCUGUGAUAGCUAGCCGUGAAGGUGUGAAUCCAAAGGUUGUACACUGGAAACUCAUGAUUGCCGUCAUGAGGUUUGGUCUUGAUGACCUAUGUACAUGGUUCACACUAUUGAUAUGAUUGUAUCUUAGUCUGACAUAGGGUUGGGGCAUUCCCUGGUCUUUCUUGAUACCCCUGGUUUAUGCGGCUAACACACACUAGGGCCCUUUUAGCAGGAGGAGCUGAACCCAUAUA